rnacentral:rRNA from 1 species
CGAGUGGCGGACGGGUGAGUAACACGUGGGUAACCUGCCCUUAAGUGGGGGAUAACAUUUGGAAACAGAUGCUAAUACCGCAUAGAUCCAAGAACCGCAUGGUUCUUGGCUGAAAGAUGGCGUAAGCUAUCGCUUUUGGAUGGACCCGCGGCGUAUUAGCUAGUUGGUGAGGUAAUGGCUCACCAAGGCGAUGAUACGUAGCCGAACUGAGAGGUUGAUCGGCCACAUUGGGACUGAGACACGGCCCAAACUCCUACGGGAGGCAGCAGUAGGGAAUCUUCCACAAUGGACGCAAGUCUGAUGGAGCAACGCCGCGUGAGUGAAGAAGGCUUUCGGGUCGUAAAACUCUGUUGUUGGAGAAGAAUGGUCGGCAGAGUAACUGUUGUCGGCGUGACGGUAUCCAACCAGAAAGCCACGGCUAACUACGUGCCAGCAGCCGCGGUAAUACGUAGGUGGCAAGCGUUAUCCGGAUUUAUUGGGCGUAAAGCGAGCGCAGGCGGUUUUUUAAGUCUGAUGUGAAAGCCCUCGGCUUAACCGAGGAAGCGCAUCGGAAACUGGGAAACUUGAGUGCAGAAGAGGACAGUGGAACUCCAUGUGUAGCGGUGAAAUGCGUAGAUAUAUGGAAGAACACCAGUGGCGAAGGCGGCUGUCUGGUCUGUAACUGACGCUGAGGCUCGAAAGCAUGGGUAGCGAACAGGAUUAGAUACCCUGGUAGUCCAUGCCGUAAACGAUGAAUGCUAGGUGUUGGAGGGUUUCCGCCCUUC